rnacentral:miRNA from 1 species
GUAGUACUCGGUUGUAGGUGUA